rnacentral:rRNA from 1 species
CUCGUAGGCGGUUUGUCGCGUCGUCUGUGAAAUUCUGCAACUCAAUUGCAGGCGUGCAGGCGAUACGGGCAGACUUGAGUACUACAGGGGAGACUGGAAUUCCUGGUGUAGCGGUGAAAUGCGCAGAUAUCAGGAGGAACACCGGUGGCGAAGGCGGGUCUCUGGGUAGUAACUGACGCUGAGGAGCGAAAGCGUGGGUAGCGAACA